UCACAGAAAGUUCAAGACCAUCUUACAUUAGUAUAAUGCAGAUGAAAGUUCCUAAUGCUUUGAAAAUUCUAAUCCCACAGCAGCAAUGUAUGAAUUUAAGCAUGCCAUUAAGAAAAAAAUUAACUUCAUUCAUUAAAUUCAUUCUUUCAUUCAAUCAUUACUAAUGUUUCCCAGGUCACAUCAGCCUAAAGGUAAAAUAGGUCGUGCAGCUGUCAAAAAUAACAAAAAUAUUUUUCCAGCUUCAGCCUGCCACUUAACAGAAAGCAUCAGCCCCACUUCAAGUUGUCUCAAAGGUAUUUUACCCAGGAGCUCUGAUGACUCACCCGGCGUAUCUUUGGUAACAGAAGAGGCAGCCUUUUUGCUGCAGACACAGUACAUGCGGCUUCCACUCAUGCCUUGGACAUCAACUCUUGUCCUUUUACUGACUUUGUUUUUCCUUAACACCUCCUUUCUUCCAGAACAAAGGCAAUCUUGCCUUCCAGAGGCAUAAUGUCUGGAGAUGUUAGUGUUUUUCAUGACUGCAGAAGGAGGAUGCUACUGGCAUCUAGAGGAUGGAGCUAGGGAUGCUACCAAAUACUCUGCAGUGCACAGAACAGCCCCUCACAACAAGAAAUAUCUGGGCCAAAAUGCCAAUAGUGCUGAGGCAGAAAGACCUGAGUCUCAGAAAGCUGGCCUACAGGACAAUCUGAGGAACAGUAGCUCUUCCAUUCUCAAAAAUCACCUCUGGUAUUUUUAAGCUAAACAUGCUCCUCCUCUUUGCCUCUCCUUAGGAUGAUAGGAUUCUUUCAACAUUAAAAGCAGACUUGCCUCCUCUUUAGAGAAUGUAAUGAUCAUCUGAGACACUGAACAAGAAACAGUCUCUCUGUCAUAGCUAUUGUUUUCUGUUACCACACUCUUUCCGGCCCAAUCCUCCUUCUGGUAACAGAUCCGGCUGCCUUGACCUCGAGGGGUGGGCCUAUAACUCAGGUGAGCCAAACAAUAGGCCUUCCCCAGGUUUUUCUUUUUCACUCAAGCUGAGGAAAGAGAAUCUCUUUUCUGGCCUCAUGACUAUAUAGUAAGAGGCUCUGGGGGGAAACAUCUUGAGAUAAUGAGGCUCUCCUACAGAGAGAAGCAGAAAGGAAGAAAGCAAGGAGAGAGGAGGAAGUGAGAGAAAGUAUGUGCUUUCAUCCCAGGUCUUCCCAAGUCCAGCUCCAUUUCCAUACUUCCUACCAUUUGAUUUUAUGUGCAGUUUUCAUCUUCUGUUUAAGCUAGGUUAAUCAGGGUCUUUAUCACUUCCAGCAUAAGAAUUUUGGCUAAUACACGUGUCUUCAAAAUCCUUAAAAUUCAGUACAGCAGUAUAGAGUAGCAGAUGAAAGUGGAGCAGUACCCUGUGGGGCUCCUGGGCACAAAAGUCUUUCUGUGCCCACCCUUUCUUGCUUGUAGGAAACAGGCUUCAUUCAGCCUCCAUGACCUUCCCUGAGUUCCAAAGGGCAGGUUCAAACAGUUGCUAAUCAGGAAAGAGAGGGGGUGUGGAUACUAGAAAGGAGCAAUCAAGAAACAGUAUUGCAGCCUUGGGGCCCAGGGUCCUGGUUAACUCUGAAGAUAUAUAGGUUUCCUUUGGCCAGUCAUUAUCAUUUGCCUUGAAGGAGGAAACAGAACAGGCUUAAUCUUGAAAGCAGGACUCCAUCUUGAGCCGGACUGUGGACUUUGAGCUAUAUGCCCAGUAUCUAUGGAAAUGACAUACCAACUGGAAAACCAGGCCCCCAGAAGGAAGAGCUCCAGGGCUCAUACCCAGACUCUCUGUAACUUAAAAGAAUACCCUAAUUCUCUGUGUAACCAAAUAGAAUCAUACAUUCUGCUGCUGCUGCUGCUAAGUCGCUUCAGUCGUGUCCGACUCUGUGCAACCCCAUAGAUGGCAGCCCAACAGGCUCCCCCAUCACUGGGACUCUCCAGGCAAGAAUACUGGAGUGGGUUGCCAUUUCCUUCUCCAAUGCAUGAAAGUGAAAAGUGAAAGUGAAGUCGCUCAGUCGUGUCCGACUCUUAGCGACCCCAUGGACUUCAGCCUACCAGCCUUCUUCAUCUAUGGGAUUUUCCAGGCAAGAGUACUGGAGUGGGGUGCCAUUGCCUUCUCCAAGAAUCAUACAUUCUAUUAUGCUUAUUGGGGUAUGACCACAGGCCUAUUGAUAAUUCUCUACUGUUAACCACUUAGGCUUAAGGCAUAUGAAUCACAGGUUAACUUUAAUGUAUCUUUUUUUUUUCCCUUUGUUCCCACUUGUUUCAGGGAAUCUGGGAAGGUGGGUUUGGGCACAUAUAUAAGGUUUUCACAAAAACUGGCUGGGGUCCUUGGCUAAGAGGAGACUCUGCCUUAGCCCUGCCAGUGUAAUAAACUGUACUUCACUAUCUGCAUCAUCCUUCUAAGUGAGUUUGUUUCCCGGAACACGUGGCUACAAAAGCCUGGUUCACAGUCCAUAUUUGGUAUAUCUCAGGAUCCUCCCAUGUGUGUACAUGAGUCUCUUAGCCAAGAUGGAUCUUACUGAAAAGGCAUGUGGGUAGGGAACACCCCUUUGCAUAACUCCCCUUUAGCCUUCCAGGAGCCUUUUCUGUGCAUGUGUGGCUGGGGAGGGCUCCUGGCUUCACGAACAAGAAAUGUGUGGUCUAGCCAGGGCCCAGCCUUCUCCCUUACUUGUCCUGCUAUUCUUGUCUUGGAGUUUCAGUCCACAGGGAAUGAAUCUCCAACUCCUUUACCCUGGGUGGGGGGGCUCCUAUCAGCCUUCUGCCUCACUUGGACAUGCCUGAGCACACUCAUAAGCAUGUAGACCCCAGACUGGCUGGAAACAGAAAGUUGAUGAUGCUGACUACCGAUUACCUCACCACCAACCAAUCAGAAGAAUGUCCACAAGAUGAUGGUGUUCUUCUCUUUACUGUAAAACUCCUCACUACCACCCUCCAGGUUGGGACACACAAUUUUGAGGGCGUAGGCCUGCUGUGGCCCCCACCUUUGCCUGGCAAAGCAAUAAAGCUAUUCUUUUCUACUUUACCGAAAACUCUGAGAUUCAACUCUGUAUGCUGGUGUACAGAAGCCAAAUUUCAGCUAGUGUAGCAUGAAAAGUGCCCCAGUG
ensembl:lncRNA